rnacentral:rRNA from 1 species
UUCUAUACACACCACUCUGAAUGGACCCAAUCUUGCUUGAUCUCUGCAGCUAAGCAGGUUCAGGACUGGUUAGUCCUUGAAUGGGAGACUGCCAGUGACCACUUAGUGCUAUAAAGAGA